CAAAUGACCACGUUUUUUCCCCAUCCUGGCGGACGGGUGAGUAACGCGUAGGAAUCUAUCCGUGGGUGGGGGAUAACUCUGGGAAACUGGAGCUAAUACCGCAUGAUACCUGAGGGUCAAAGGCGCAAGUCGCCUGCGGAGGAGCCUGCGUUUGAUUAGCUUGUUGGUGGGGUAAUGGCCUACCAAGGCGAUGAUCAAUAGCUGGUCUGAGAGGAUGAUCAGCCACACUGGGACUGAGACACGGCCCAGACUCCUACGGGAGGCAGCAGUGGGGAAUAUUGGACAAUGGGGGCAACCCUGAUCCCCAAUGCCCGUGUGUGAAUAAGUUUUCCUAUUGUACAGUUUUCCGACAUGAUACAGGCCGUAAUCUACACAUAUCUGCAUCGAGAGGCCACUUCAGACCAGUACG
rnacentral:rRNA from 2 species